AUGUUUCAAAAUUCUUACUUAUCUGGCAGUUCACCUCAUGCAUUUGAACUAUAUAUUCAUUUAGACUGGAAACUACCUUCGUCAUCUCCUUCUUUAGUCAAGAGAUAUGUGGCAAUGGGUUUCCCAAAAGAAAUGGUCGUGACAAGCAUCAAGGAGAUUGGGCACAGUGACCAAAAUGCAUUGCUUGAAUUACUGUUGACCUAUAAGGUAUACUGUGAAGGAGUAGAAACCGAGUGUAUUGCUGUGUUGCUUGUUUGUAAUUUUGACGAAUUAGAAAAUUUAUUUGUGUUAGACAUCACUCUUUUUUCUUCAAAUUCAAAAUUUGCGAACCAAUUAUGCCCUUUGGUUUAUUUUGUAGUCCAAGAUAUAGUGUACAGUCGGAGUGAUAUGAGAAGAGUUCGGAAAGAAGUAGAAGCAAAACUUGAUAAUGAUUUUGUACAAGAGAUGUUUGAGAAGGACGAGAAAAUCAAUUCAUUAGUAGAUAUGGGAUUUUCUGAAGAUGAAGCUAAUAUGGCUAUUAUAAGAUGUGGUGUGGAUGGUGAUCUCUCUGUAUUAGUUCAUUCGAUUAGUGCAUCACGGGUUGCAGGAAAUUUGAACUUGUCUAACCAUCAGAACAUUGCAAUAUGUGUACAUUUGUGGCAGGUCAUGGGUGGAUGCUUCGAUUCUUUUGGAGGGAGAAAGAAAGCAAGGUUGGUGGAAGAGAGAAAGAAAAAAAGGAAGCGAUGUGGAUGUACUGGACAGAGCAAUCAACCCUCUUUGGAUUGCAACCAUGAUGAAGAUAUGCUUAUUCCAAAUCCAAUGGUUGGAUUUAACCUGCCCAAUUAUAGCCUUCCAUUAGUUAGGGUGACCAGAAGGAUUCUUGAACAAGAUAUGGGACCACCUUAUUUCUACUACGAAAAUGUGGCUAGGGCUCCCACGGGUGUAUGGGCGACCAUUUCAAGAUCUCUGUAUGACAUUCAACCUGAGUUUGUAGAUUCCAAACAUUUGUGUGCAACUGCAAGGAAAAGAGGCUACAUACAUAACUUGCCAAUUGAGAACAGAGCACCUCUUCUUCCUUUGCCUCCAAUGACCAUAUUUGAGGCAUUCCCUCGUUACAAGAAGUGGUGGCCUUCCUGGGACCAGAGAACACAGUUCAACUGCUUGCUAACAGGUGUGGCAGGUCCAAAGCUGACUGGAAAGAUUGGGCGUGCUCUUGCAAGUGCGAACACUCCACCAUCUCAAAGUAUUCAAAAGUAUGUCAUCGAUCACUGCAAAAGGUACAAUCUUGUCUGGGUCGGAAAAAAUAAGGUUGCUAAGUUAGAGCCUCAAGAGAUUGAAUAUCUGCUUGGUUUUCCAAAGGACCACACAAGGGGUCUCGGCGACACAAAUAGAUACAAAUCUCUAGGCAACUCAUUCCAUGUUGAUACUGUUGCUUACCACUUGUCAGUGCUAAAAGGCAUGUUUCCCAAUGGUGUUAAUGUGCUGUCCUUAUUCACUGGUAUUGGAGGAGGAGAGGUAGCUUUGCACAGGUUGGGAAUCAACAUGAGGACAGUGGUUUCUGUUGAAAUAGACAAAGCUAGUAAGAGGAUUUUCAGGGAUUGGUGGAAUCAGACUCAAACAGGCACGCUGAUUGAGAUUGAUGACGUGAAAUCUCUUACUGAUGAUCAAGUUGCAACAUAUGUUACUACAUUUGGCGGCUUCGACUUGGUGAUUGGGGGCAGCCCAUGUAACAAUCUUGCUGGGUGCAACCGAUCCAGCCGUCAUGGCUUGGAGGGCAAGCAAUCUGUUUUGUUCCACCAUUAUGUCAGAAUCUUGAAUGCCGUCAAGUCGGCUAUGGCCAGGAAGUAG
rnacentral:rRNA from 1 species